rnacentral:rRNA from 1 species
GACGAACGCUGGCGGCGUGCUUAACACAUGCAAGUCGAGCGGUAAGGCCCUUUCGGGGGUACACGAGCGGCGAACGGGUGAGUAACACGUGGGUGACCUGCCCUCAGCUCUGGGAUAAGCCUGGGAAACCGGGUCUAAUACUGGAUAUGACUCCAUGACGCAUGUUGUGGGGUGGAAAGCCUUGUGCGGCUGAGGAUGGGCCCGCGGCCUAUCAGCUUGUUGGUGGGGUGANGGCCUACCAAGGCGACGACGGGUAGCCGGCCUGAGAGGGCGACCGGCCACACUGGGACUGAGACACGGCCCAGACUCCUACGGGAGGCAGCAGUGGGGAACCUUGCGCAAUGGGCGAAAGCCUGACGCAGCGACGCCGCGUGAGGGAUGACGGCCU